rnacentral:rRNA from 1 species
ACGCUGGCGGCAUGCCUUACACAUGCAAGUCGAACGGCAGCACGGGGGCAACCCUGGUGGCGAGUGGCGAACGGGUGAGUAAUACAUCGGAACGUGUCCUGUAGUGGGGGAUAGCCCGGCGAAAGCCGGAUUAAUACCGCAUACGCUCUACGGAGGAAAGGGGGGGAUCUUAGGACCUCCCGCUACAGGGGCGGCCGAUGGCAGAUUAGCUAGUUGGUGGGGUAAAGGCCUACCAAGGCGACGAUCUGUAGCUGGUCUGAGAGGACGACCAGCCACACUGGGACUGAGACACGGCCCAGACUCCUACGGGAGGCAGCAGUGGGGAAUUUUGGACAAUGGGGGCAACCCUGAUCCAGCAAUGCCGCGUGUGUGAAGAAGGCCUUCGGGUUGUAAAGCACUUUUGUCCGGAAAGAAAACGCCGUGGUUAAUACCCGUGGCGGAUGACGGUACCGGAAGAAUAAGCACCGGCUAACUACGUGCCAGCAGCCGCGGUAAUACGUAGGGUGCAAGCGUUAAUCGGAAUUACUGGGCGUAAAGCGCGCGCAGGCGGUCCGCUAAGACAGAUGUGAAAUCCCCGGGCUUAACCUGGGAACUGCAUUUGUGACUGGCGGGCUAGAGUAUGGCAGAGGGGGGUAGAAUUCCACGUGUAGCAGUGAAAUGCGUAGAGAUGUGGAGGAAUACCGAUGGCGAAGGCAGCCCCCUGGGCCAAUACUGACGCUCAUGCGUGAAAGCGUGGGGAGCAAACAGGAUUAGAUAUCGUGGUAGUCCACGCCAUAAACGAUGUCAACUAGUUGUCGGGUAUUCAUUGACUUGGUAACGUAGCUAACGCGUGAAGUUGUCCGCCUGGGGAGUACGGUCGCAAGAUUAAAACUCAAAGGAAUUGACGGGGACCCGCACAAGCGGUGGAUGAUGUGGAUUAAUUCGAUGCAACGCGAAAAACCUUACCUACCCUUGACAUGUAUGGAAUCGUGAUGAGAGGUGGGAGUGUCUGAAAGGGAGCCAUCACACAGGUGCUGCAUGGCUGUUGUCAGCUAGUGUCGUGAGAUGUUGGGUUAAGUCCUGCAACGAGCGCAACCCUUGUCCUUAGUUGUUACGCAAGAGCACUCAUAGGGAGUCUGCCGGUGACAAACCGGAGGAAGGUGGGGAU